rnacentral:rRNA from 1 species
UACCAGCUCUCCGAGUGGUAGGGAUGAUUAUUGGGCUUAAAGCGUCCGUAGCCGGCUUAGCAAGUUUCCUGUUAAAUUCAGCGACCUAAUCGUUGAGCCGCGGGAAAUACUACUAGGCUAGGAGGCGGGAGAGGUCGACGGUACUUCUGGGGUAGGGGUGAAAUCCUAUAAUCCCGGGAGGACCACCAGUGGCGAAGGCUGUCGACUAGAACGCGCUCGACGGUGAGGGACGAAAGCGGGGGGAGCGAACCGGAUUAGAUACCGGGGUAGUCCCAGCUGUAAACGAUGCGGGCUAGGUGUUGGGGUGGCUACGUGCCACUUCAGUGCCGCAGGGAAGCCAUUAAGCCCGCCGCCUGGGGAGUACGGCCGCAAGGCUGAAACUUAAAGGAAUUGGCGGGGGAGCACCACAAGGCGUGAAGCUUGCGGUUC